UAGCAACGUUAAAUCUCGUGAAACCACGCGUGAUUUCAUCUCGCGGGCUUUGGAUCGUGGUUUAAAAAAUGCAUCCAUCUCAGUCAAGUCGAGCAGCCAACUCUACGUUUUUUGAUGACCUCUAUUCUGCAUUUCACCAGGAGUCAGCUGAUGGAUUGUGGGUUCAAGGUGUUAUGAUGAAAUGCAGCAUUCCAGUGCAUCCCAACCAUGCCUUUACAGUCAAGGUUUCUGACGGAGCUGAGUUUCUCUCUGACAGUCUGCUGAAAGUGUUUGCAAAGUGAUCGGGGGAACAGGGCACAAAGCUAAAGGAUGUAGCUGCCAUGAUGACAGAUGACAUUAAUGCUCGAAGGGAGUCUCAUCAAAGUGCUCCGCAUCUGUGUGAAAGACAAUUGCAACAUCUUGGUGCAGGAGUUCAUGGACUUGACUGAGGCCACUGCACAGAUUGAGAAAACCACAAUGAACAUCUGUCUCCAGAGGAUGCACCAGGCAAUGACUUUUCUGAUGUUGGCAUCAUCAUCGAGGGUAUAGUAGUUCUUCAAGAUCUGGAUAACGUGACCUUUGCAGUAGCCAUGCUGUUUGGACCUUUUUUAUUCCUUCAAUAUGAGUUACCCAUCACAACUCUGCUACACUUUUGAGGUGAUUCAAAGGGUGGUAAUGGAGUUGGAUGCAACUCAGCUCUCAAGAAAAACUCACAACUAAGACAAAACUGCUCCUGCAAUGAAGCUCACUGUUAUGCAUGCAAGCUGAUCAGCUCUAGGUGAGAGGACAUUUAAAUCUCACACUUGUUCUGCUGCAUUUUUGAAGCUCAAUUCCAUGAACAGAUCGCAGGGUUCAUUUUUAUAUACUCUGCAACUGCCAUGAGGACGAGCCGUUUUUGUUGUUGUUGUUUGUUUUUCCUUUUGCUCUGUACAGCAUUUUGGCAGCAUUUUUAAAUUUCUCUUUGUAUUUUUUCUUUCUUUUACUAGUGAAGAGAUGUAGCAUGAACAGUUAUGCAGUCUAAAUAUCCCAUAUGGGUCGUGUGAAAUGUUAUUUUCAGUUUCAUUCAGUUGAAGUAAAGAACGUUGAAUAUUUCUAAGUGUGCUGUUUUGAACCAAGAUGUCACAGUAUGAUCAGUGCUGUAAUUUUUGACAGUCACUGUAUCAAUGUUAUUUUUGCAUCUCUUGAAUAAAGGUUUUGACCUGCAA
ensembl:lncRNA